rnacentral:tRNA from 1 species
CAGGGAGACAACACAAUGAUUUUGAUGCCUGAGUGCUUUUAUUCUUAGGCCGAAAUCCUGUCACUUAGGUCGAUCGGUACUCAGCUUUGAAGUCAAGGAUCAGCAGCAAUGUUGAUUGCUUGAUGGAGAUUUUCAGUUCCUAAACUUUGUCUAGGUCACACCCCAAAAGGGAUGAGACUCCUGGGCCAUUAGCUCAGGUGGUUAGAGCGCACCCCUGAUAAGGGUGAGGUCCCUGGUUCAAGUCCAGGAUGGCCCAUUCGGUGUUGGGGGUUUAGCUCAGUUGGUAGAGCGCCUGCUUUGCAAGCAGGAUGUCAGGAGUUCAAGUCUCCUAACCUCCACUGACCGAACUUGAUUCCCAUCUCCAAUUUUUUGGAGUUGAGCUCGAUUGGAGUGUGAUUUAGAUGUGUCCGCUGGAUGACCCCAGCUUCCUGUCAUUCCAAGUUUUAGGUAUUAAGCCUUAAAUUUGAUUGAUAAGAUGCUGGGCUCGGAUCAAAUGAUCAAGCAAUUGAUGAUUUGAUUUGAAGUUCUAGCAGAACCUUGACAACUGCAUAGGUGAGUCUGGAAAAAACAAAGCAUCUUACAGAUGCAUUGUUUUGAAUCUAAUCUUCUGAAAGGGAGAUUAGAUCUAGAACAAUGAAAAUUCUUUUGAGCAAGAGCCGAGACUCUUGAAUGUUCUUUGAUUGGUGUCGAGCCAAUCAGAGUUUGAUCUUGUUUUUAGCAAUAAAAACUUGAGAAUCUGCUUUCAACGGCGGUAAGCGUUCAAGAGGUUAAUU